GAUGAACGCUGGCGGCGUGCCUAAUACAUGCAGGUCGAGCGAACAGACGAGGAGCUUGCUCCUCUGACGUUAGCGGCGGACGGGUGAGUAACACGUGGAUAACCUACCUAUAAGACUGGGAUAACUUCGGGAAACCGGAGCUAAUACCGGAUAAUAUAUUGAACCGCAUGGUUCAAUAGUGAAAGACGGUUUUGCUGUCACUUAUAGAUGGAUCCGCGCCGCAUUAGCUAGUUGGUAAGGUAACGGCUUACCAAGGCAACGAUGCGUAGCCGACCUGAGAGGGUGAUCGGCCACACUGGAACUGAGACACGGUCCAGACUCCUACGGGAGGCAGCAGUAGGGAAUCUUCCGCAAUGGGCGAAAGCCUGACGGAGCAACGCCGCGUGAGUGAUGAAGGUCUUCGGAUCGUAAAACUCUGUUAUUAGGGAAGAACAAAUGUGUAAGUAACUAUGCACGUCUUGACAGUACCUAAUCAGAAAGCCACGGCUAACUACGUG
rnacentral:rRNA from 1 species